AAAGUGGUGAUGAUAUGUGUUGUGUUCACAGGGACAUGCUGCUUCAGGGGGGCUCAGCAGUGGACGCAGCCAUCGCAGCGCUGCUCUGCACUGGACUGGUCAACCCACAAAGCAUGGGCUUGGGUGGAGGGGCCAUCUUUACCAUCAUGGACAAAACAGGCAAAGUGAAAAUCAUCAGCUCAAGAGAAACGGUUC